rnacentral:rRNA from 1 species
GAUGAACGCUGGCGGCGUGCCUAAUACAUGCAAGUCGAGCGAACAGACGAGGAGCUUGCUCCUCUGACGUUAGCGGCGGACGGGUGAGUCACACGUGGAUAACCUACCUAUAAGACUGGGAUAACUUCGGGAAACCGGAGCUAAUACCGGAUAAUAUAUUGAACCGCAUGGUUCAAUAGUGAAUGACGGUUUUGCUGUCACUUAUAGAUGGAUCCGCGCCGCAUUAGCUAGUUGGUAAGGUAACGGCUUACCAAGGCAACGAUGCGUAGCCGACCUGAGAGAGUGAUCGGCCACACUGGAACUGAGACACGGUCCAGACUCCUACGGUAGGCAGCAGUAGGGAAUCUUCCGCAGUGGGCGAAAGCCUGACGGAGCAACGCCGCGUGAGUGAUGAAGGUCUUCGGAUCGUAAAACUCUGUUAUUAGGGAAGAACAAAUGUGUAAGUAGCUGUGCACGUCUUGACGGUACCUAAUCAGAAAGCCACGGCUAACUACGUG